UGGGGAAUCUUCCGCAAUGGGCGCAAGCCUGACGGAGCAACGCCGCGUGAGUGAAGAAGGGUUUCGACUCGUAAAGCUCUGUUGUCGGGGACGAAUGUCAGGACUCAGAAUAUGGGUUCUGAAUGACGGUACCUGACGAGGAAGCCACGGCUAACUACGUGCCAGCAGCCGCGGUAAUACGGAGGAUGCGAGCGUUAUCCGGAUUUAUUGGGUUUAAAGGGUGCGCAGGCGGCGCGCCAAGUCAGCGGUCAAAGUUCCGGGGCUCAACCCGGUGUCGCCGUUGAAACUGGCGUGCUCGAGUGCGUGCGAGGAAGGCGGAAUGCGUUGUGUAGCGGUGAAAUGCAUAGAUAUGACGCAGAACUCCGAUUGCGAAGGCAGCUUUCCAGCGCGCUACUGAC
rnacentral:rRNA from 1 species